rnacentral:rRNA from 1 species
UGGGGAAUUUUGGACAAUGGGCGAAAGCCUGAUCCAGCGACGCCGCGUGAGGGACGAAGCCCUUCGGGGUGUAAACCUCUGUUGUGAGGGACGAAUAAGAUCUGGAGGAAAUGCCAGAUCGAUGACGGUACCUCACGAGAAAGCCCCGGCUAACUACGUGCCAGCAGCCGCGGUAAUACGUAGGGGGCGAGCGUUACCCGGAUUCACUGGGCGUAAAGGGGGCGCAGGCGAUCCAGUAUGUCGGGUGUGAAAUCCCACAGCUCAACUGUGGAAUUGCGCCCGAAACUACUGGGUUUGGGGCUGGUAGAGGGAGACGGAACUGCUGGUGUAGGGGUGAAAUCCGUAGAUAUCAGCAGGAACGCCGGUGGGGAAGCCGGUCUCCUGGGCCAAGCCCGACGCUGAGGCCCGAAAGCUAGGGGAGCAAACCG